ensembl:snRNA U6 U6 spliceosomal RNA
GUGCUCACUUCAGCAGUACAUAUGCAAAAACUGGAAUGAUACAGAGAAGAUUAGCAUGGCCCCUGUGCACGGAUGGCAUGCAAAUUUGUGAAGCGUUCCAUAUAAAA